rnacentral:rRNA from 1 species
UGGGGAAUAUUGCACAAUGGGGGAAACCCUGAUGCAGCGACGCCGCGUGAACGAAGAAGGUAUUCGUAUCGUAAAGUUCUGUCCUAUAGGAAGAUAAUGACAGUACCAUAGAAGAAAGCUCCGGCUAAAUACGUGCCAGCAGCCGCGGUAAUACGUAUGGAGCGAGCGUUGUCCGGAAUUAUUGGGCGUAAAGGGUACGCAGGCGGUUUAAUAAGUCGAAUGUUAAAGAUCGGGGCUCAACCCCGCAAAGCAUUGGAAACUGAUAAACUUGAGUAGUGGAGAGGAAAGUGGAAUUCCUAGUGUAGUGGUGAAAUACGUAGAUAUUAGGAGGAAUACCAGUAGCGAAGGCGACUUUCUGGACACAAACUGACGCUGAGGUACGAAAGCGUGGGGAGCAAACAGG